rnacentral:rRNA from 1 species
UACGUAGGGUGCAAGCGUUGUCCGGAAUUAUUGGGCGUAAAGAGCUCGUAGGCGGUUUGUCGCGUCGAAUGUGAAAUCCCGGGGCUCAACCCCGGGUCUGCAUUCGAUACGGGCAGACUAGAGUUCGGUAGGGGAGUCUGGAAUUCCUGGUGUAGCGGUGAAAUGCGCAGAUAUCGGGAAGAACACCAGUGGCGAAAGCGGCUCUCUGGGGACCAUCUGACGCUGAGGCGCGAAAGCGUGGGGAGCGAACCGG